GAUUAACGCUGGCGGCGUGCAUAACACAUGCAAGUCGAACGAUGAAGUUUUUUAGACAUCUUCGGAUAGACAAAAAUGGAAUAGUGGCGGACGGGUGAGUAACACGUGAGUAACCUGCCUUACACAAGGGGAUAGCCGUUGGAAACGACGAAUAAUACCCUAUAUAGUCCAAAGAUGCCAUCAGAUUUGGACGAAAGAUUUAUCGCUCGCGGAUGGGGAUGCGUCUGAUUAGCUUGUUGGCGGGGUAACGGCCCACCAAGGCAUCGAUCAGUAGGGGUUCUGAGAGGAAGGUCCCCCACAUAGGAACUGAGACACGGUCCUA
rnacentral:rRNA from 1 species